rnacentral:lncRNA from 1 species
AUGUUGUAAGUCCGAGAGCUUCCCUACAGUACGUGCCAUGCAUUUGUAUUGAACACGUCCCAUCAAAUCAUACAAGAAUGAGUCUUGGACACACCCAUUAUAACUGAAAUAAAUCAAAAACUGACUGGAACAAUAAUGGACUACGCUACAUCGAACGGAAUACCAGCAUCUGUUCAAGGUGUUGCGUAUGUGGUUGGAGUGUAUGGUCAGAAAGAUUUUUAUCCAACAUAG